UACAGAGGUGGCAAGCGUUGUUCGGAAUUACUGGGCGUAAAGGGCGCGUAGGCGGCCUGCUAAGUCGGAUGUGAAAUCCCUCGGCUCAACCGAGGAACUGCAUCCGAUACUGGCGGGCUUGAAUCCGGGAGAGGGAUGUGGAAUUCCAGGUGUAGCGGUGAAAUGCGUAGAUAUCUGGAGGAACACCGGUGGCGAAGGCGGCAUCCUGGACCGGUAUUGACGCUGAGGCGCGAAAGCUAGGGGAGCAAACGGGG
rnacentral:rRNA from 1 species